rnacentral:lncRNA from 1 species
CCCAUUUUCAUAGUCCACUAAACAUAGAAAAUGAUAGUGUAGAUGAGGCAUCCGUGUACUAGGGACACGUUCAUGUUUCUUCAAAUUUUCGUCGUAUCGCUGUAAAUUUGUGUUAAAAUUUUAACGUCGAUAUUAAUAAAUAUUUCAUUGUUUACGAGAAAUAUGCAAUUUACUAUCAUUGUUAUAAAUCCUAAAUAUGGC